UACGGGGGGGGCAAGCGUUGUUCGGAAUUACUGGGCGUAAAGGGCUCGUAGGCGGCCAACUAAGUCCGACGUGAAAUCCCAAGGCUUAACCUUGGAACUGCGUCGGAUACUGGAUGGCUUGAAUUCGGGAGAGGGAUGCAGAAUUCCAGGUGUAGCGGUGAAAUGCGUAGAUAUCUGGAGGAAUACCGGUGGCGAAGGCGGCAUCCUGGACCGGCAUUGACGCUGAGGAGCGAAAGCCAGGGGAGCAAACGGG
rnacentral:rRNA from 1 species